AAGAAAUAAAAAAAAAAUAUACUGCCUUUUUUUGACACGUAUACUCCCUCCCCAACAUACACAAACAAAAAUUAAGUAAACCUUACUGCAAAAGUAACAAAACAUAUUAAUACUCUCAUUCUCUAAACAAAACGUCGGCUUCCCUCCCCCCUCUCUCUCUACUGUAUUCUCCCACAAAUUGCAGCUACUAACAAAACGAAGUUCCAAAUUCACCUCCCUCUCUCUCGAUUUUUCUCACAAGAAAACGAAAACUCCCAAUUAAAGAGAAAGCCCCAAAACAGAAACCGUCGAUUCUCCGAUUCACCGUCGCCUUCCACCGUCGCCGGCCGCUGCUCACCGGGAAGACAAAUUGCGGUCGCCACGGUCCUGUCGGCGCCGUCGCGCGUCCAAAACUGCCGUCGUCUGCAGCCUCCCGUCGGUCAGCCUCUGCUGCAUCCGUUGCCACGACGCCGCUGCUGUCGUCACCGCAGGCUGCGGUCAGUUUGCCUUCGCCGUUGGGUUCGGUCAGCGCCCGUGCCCCGAAACCAACCCGAGAUUCUCGAUUUCAAACUUACAGUUAAGUUCUUACUUGUUUUGGUGAAAUUAAAGUUCGUUUCCUUUUUAUUUAAUUGUUCGAGCUACUGAUUUGAUUUAGUUACCGUUAUCGUAAGUUGCGUUGCUUACAUGGUAUGCACAGAAUGUGACUGAAAUUGAGGAAACAAGUGAUCAUAUACCUUGAACAGAUUUUGAGCGAAUACAUGAUCACGGAGGAGGAAAAUCUUUUCACGGAGGACGAUAAUCUUUACAAAAUCUUUAUUUAAUAUCUAAAUUAAUGUCUUGAUGAUCAAAUCAACAUGGAGAAUAUUAAAUUAGUUUAGUUUAAUUCACAUUACUUUGUAUUUUAUUUUAAAUUAUGCAGUCCAUAAUUUAUUUAUCACGGACUGGAUUUUUAUAUUAUUUAUUCCAUUUAUCUGAUCCAACUCGCGGAUUGAGUCCAAUA